GGGAUCUUGGACACUCUGGGAGGUGUCCCACCCUCAUGGCUGAGCCCAUCCUUCCUGAGGGAAGACAGUGGCAGCCACAGGAAUGGUGGCCAUUUCCAGGGGCUUUGCCCUCUGCUCACCUUAUGUCCAACCUCUCAGGAUGCUGUGGAGUUGCACCUUCUGCAGGAUGAAGAGGUUUUCAGGAAGACAACAGUGCCGUCAUGUAUCUAAGACCCUGGAGAGGCAGAUGCAGCCUCAGGACCAGCUGGCUUCUGACUUUGGCCAGGUAGGACUUGACUUAGAGGCAGAAUUUGAAAAAGAUCUCAAAGACGUGCUCGGUUUUCAUGAAGCCAAUGACGGCGGUUUCUGGACUCUUCCUUGACCCUGUUCUGUAAAGACUGAAGCAUCCCCACCUCAGGAUUCAGCUGAUGGGACCCUGGCUUGGACUGUUGAUUGCCAGUGAGUCUGGGAUGUAAUUGGCUGCCCUCAGGACCCAACUCCAGACACUUCAUAGGAUUAUCACACCCUCCAUCUUUAUUCUUUCUUUUUACCUUUAAAAGUCUAUAUCUACACU
rnacentral:sRNA from 1 species